AACGAACGCUGGCGGCAGGCCUAACACAUGCAAGUCGAGCGGACCCUUCGGGGUUAGCGGCGGACGGGGGAGUAACGCGUGGGAAUAUGCCCUUCUCUACGGAAUAGUCCUGGGAAACUGGGGGUAAUACCGUAUACGCCCUUUGGGGGAAAGAUUUAUCGGGGAAGGAUUAGCCCGCGUUGGAUUAGGUAGUUGGUGGGGUAAUGGCCUACCAAGCCGACGAUCCAUAGCUGGUUUGAGAGGAUGAUCAGCCACACUGGGACUGAGACACGGCCCAGACUCCUACGGGAGGCAGCAGUGGGGAAUCUUAGACAAUGGGGGCAACCCUGAUCUAGCCAUGCCGCGUGAGUGAUGAAGGCCUUAGGGUUGUAAAGCUCUUUCAGCUGGGAAGAUAAUGACGGUACCAGCAGAAGAAGCCCCGGCUAACUCCGUG
rnacentral:rRNA from 1 species